UUUCCUAUAAAGAGAAGAUGGAUGAUGGGCAGAAGCAUCAGUUAAAGUGAGGAUAUCAGCUAUGUUAGUGACGAUUCUGCCAUUUUUUCUAGUUGCAAAUAUUACUGUCCAUCGGCAGUAUGAACAAACAAAAUGGGCGAGUCCGGAAUACACGUACGACGUUCUCGUGAACACAUCCCUGGCCAACAUUGUUCAGGAAAAUGAUAAUUUCUGCGCUAUGAUUGCCACCGAGCUUAAGUGUCGUCCUAAGGGAGACGACAGUCUCAGCUGCUAUUUCCAGAACUCUUUAAUCAAACGUCCCGAUCCAAAAGACAAUAGAUGUUCGAACGCGAAGGAUUUUGUGCCUACGAGAUAUAAAUUCGUGGGCGAUGAACCCUUCGAAAUCAGAUUCAAUUCGAAGGGUAUUGAAAAUCUGGUGGUACACAGAUCGAUUCCUAGAUGGAGGCUUGACAUGAUCAAGAGUAUAGUCAGCCAAUUGAAUGUUGGUUUCGAGAUACAGGAACGUCGUGAUAGAUUUACAAUUAUGGAAAAUUCGACAGUGGGUCACUGCGAAGUUGACGUUAAGAUCGUUCGUAAUCCGGAUUUCCGGGAAAAUGACGAUGAUUCUAUUGAGGAGACUGAGAAAUUCGAGAUCGGAUUCAUGCCAUCGAACGUAGAACUCGAGAGUCCUUUAGUUAUAGAAAGGCUCCAGGUGGAAAAAAUCAGACAGCCGAAAAGAUGCCCGCGAAGAAUAAUAUAUUUCUUUGGAAAUGAUGAGGAUUAUAGUCGCGGUGAUAAGCAACUCUAUAUGGAUAUGACCACUUCCACCAGUCAUAUCACUAUCUCAAAAGAUAAAUUUGUAUCUUACACAAUAUCGGAGGGUGUAAUGAAAACGGCAAAUAAAUCACGAAUUAUGCGUCCUUAUCAAAAGAUAAGCCUAAAAUUGAAGCGAAUAGAUCUCAUUGAAACUUUGAAAAUUUCACUGCCAGAGAUCCAAAAUCCAGCCUCGACAAGUCUAUUUGCUUUUUCAAAUUUGCAAACUAUUCCGGAAGACGAAUAAUUUGAAAUAUUUGUCGUGCCCCAUGUUGAAGAAAAUCCAGGAAACUGUUUCACAGAUCUAUAUAUGAAAUUUAGAAAUUGUUAAAUGCAAUCGUAAUAAAGGGUUGUUUAAAAAUAAUGCAGCUUGAAAUUGGCAUUAAUUCUUUGAAUAUCUUCUUGGUAAGUGUUAUCGCUCGCUGUAUUGUCAGUGAUUGUUCUCGCUACAAUUCACAUCCAGAGCGAACUAAUUUGACUUCGUUUAAAGCUCGUGUGUAAAGAGACUUCUGCUUUUAAUACAAACCUGCCUAAAAAAUA